AUGAUCCUGAAUCAAGGCUGGCAGUUUUCAGAAGCUGUUGGUUUCAAGAAGGAGCCUAAAGUGGUAUCUUUCUAUGGUUUGCUGAUCAUUUUAGAACUUUAGAAAUGCAAUAGUCAGUUCAUUAGAAACAACUCAGU
ensembl:snoRNA small nucleolar RNA SNORA2/SNORA34 family